rnacentral:rRNA from 1 species
AUGAACGGCGACAAGCACUACCUGCCGUUCCCCACACAGGCCCAUCUGGAGGGCGUUGAGUACAAUGGCGCGGUCCUCUGCGCGGCUGGCCACGCCGACCACGGCGACUGUCAUUCGUGCCCGUUUCUCGUGGCGUUCGUGUUCAAUCAGCAGAGUGAUUUCAAUACCUCCGCGUGCGUCUACUCGUCCGAGACAAGCGUUUGGGGUGAGAUCCACUCGAUCGAAAUUCCAGAUGUAUCAGUUACAUGGGCUCCGACGCCACUGAUUGGAAAUACACUCUACUGGAUUUUGGAUACCUCUGGCGGCGCUAUCGAAAAUGAGUGUUGGAUCGUUGAGUUUGAUUUGGAUGCACACAAUUUGGAUUUAACUGGGGAGAUUCCAUACUACGUGCUCGAUAAGUACAAUAGGCAAAUUGUUCUCAUGCCAGCAGAUGAUGGACGGCUUGGUUUCGCCGGAGUUGACACAUUCAGUCUCCAUUUGUGGUCAAGUAUAGCUUGCGUUGACGGGAUGGUAACAUGGGCACAUUGCAGAGUCAUUGAUCUGGAGAAUUUUCUUGCACCGGAAGCAGUGGCGGCGUGUCGGUAUGUACCAGAUGCAGUUGGCUAUGCUGAAGAUGCCAAUGUGAUCUUCAUUCGUGUGGAUCCAAACAUCUAUAUGAUCCAUCUCAACACCAUGCAGAUUGAGGAGGUCUCAGAGAAAGGGGCCUAUUGGUUUGUUUUUCCUUGCACAAGUUUCUACACUCCAGGAAUCACCACUGGUGGUGGAGAUGAUCAAGCUGAGCCAUUAAACGACUGUUGA